UACGAAGGGGGCUAGCGUUGCUCGGAAUCACUGGGCGUAAAGCGCACGUAGGCGGACUCUUAAGUCGGUGGUGAAAUCCUGGAGCUCAACUCCAGAACUGCCUUCGAUACUGGGAGUCUCGAGUCCGGGAGAGGUGAGUGGAACUCCGAGUGUAGAGGUGAAAUUCGUAGAUAUUCGGAAGAACACCAGUGGCGAAGGCGGCUCACUGGCCCGGUACUGACGCUGAGGUGGCGAAAGCGUGGGGAGCAAACAGG
rnacentral:rRNA from 1 species